UACGAAGGGGGCUAGCGUUGCUCGGAAUUACUGGGCGUAAAGCGCACGUAGGCGGCUCUUUAAGUCGGGGGUGAAAUCCUGGAGCUCAACUCCGGAAUUGCCUUUAAGACUGCAUCGCUAGAAUUGUGGAGAGGUAAGUGGAAUUCCGAGUGUAGAGGUGAAAUUCGUAGAUAUUCGGAAGAACACCAGUGGCGAAGGCGACACCCUGGACUCAUACUGACACUGAGGUGAAAGCGUGGGGAGCAAACAGG
rnacentral:rRNA from 1 species